rnacentral:pre_miRNA from 1 species
CAUAGCGUAGAUCUCAGCCCUCCAAACCAAAUCCAACGGCUGAGAUUCGUCCACGUCAUUACGAGUUAAAUUUAACUCCAGUAAAAUUUUAACUCCUGAAAUUUUACUCCCAGUAAAAUUUUUACUCCUACGAGUUAAAUUUUAACUUACGAUGAUGUGAACGAAUCUCAGCCGUUGGAUUUGGUUUGGAGAGCUGAGAUCUAGGCUAUG